rnacentral:misc_RNA from 1 species
CGCUCCGCCUAAAGAAAACGUUAAGUGAAGUAAAAGCCAAAUCAAAAUAACACUAAAUCCACGCGCCAUUAUCAGUACCGUUAUCAGAGCAGUGGAAGCUACGCCCGCGCGUGUGUGUGUGUGUGUGUGUGUGUGUGUGCUUGCGUUAGUGCUUUUUGGGUGCGGAAUCAUCGAUGGGCAUAGCCGGAUAGAGAGAUUCCAGCGAAAGAUUCCAUGUUCAACUCCUGCAAUGCCUGGGAAAACUGCGACUUUUCCUGUCCCGGCGAGAGCACCGUCUCCUCCACCUCCUUCUACGGCGAGGAUCCUUUCUUCGACUGCGAUCUGAAGCCACAGGCAGCCGCAGGCCAGCAGCUGCCCCUCGGGAAUGGCUCGGUGUACGGCCGCAUGCCGAUCCAUGAGCCCGCCGUGAACUUCAACAACGGCACCUUCUACAAUGCAGCAGACCCUUCCAUGGUGCAGCAGCAGCAGCAGCAGCGCCCCUUUGUGGGCGCCAUGCUGGGUCCCAGUGGGGGGAUGCGCUACCAUCCCUACCAGCAGGGGCAGCAUCAGCAGGAUGCCUUCUACCAGCAGCAACAGCGGGGCAGCUUGCUGAACGUCUCCACGCCGUGCCGGGAGAGCCGCCGCCCCUGGAGCUACGCCUACUGCUACGGCUACACCCCCACGGACACCCAGCCCUGCCAGUUCUCGCAGUUUGUGGACAUCGAGGAUUUUAUGAACAACGAGAAGCGCAAGGAGAAGUCCCGCGAUGCGGCCCGUUGUCGCCGCUCCAAGGAGACGGAGAUCUUUAUGGAGCUCUCGCAGGUGCUGCCCCUCAAGAACGACGAUGUGAAUCAGCUGGACAAGGCCUCCGUGAUGCGCAUCACAAUCGCCUUCCUCAAGAUACGCGAGAUGCUGCAGUUUGUGCCGUCUUUGCGCGACUGCAAAGAGACACCGUCGGGAAUCAAGCAGGACAUCGACGAGCCCGAGGUGAAGCCCAAGCUGGAGCUGAGCAGCGAGGAGUGGCUCGAUGGCACCGCAGAGGCCAGCCAUUUGCUGAAGGAGACCAUGGACGGGUUCCUGCUGGUGCUCUCCCACGAGGGCGACAUCACCUACGUCUCCGAGAACGUGGUCGAGCACUUGGGCAUCACAAAGAUCGACACUCUGGGCCAGCCGAUCUGGGAGUACUCGCAUCAGUGCGACCACGCGGAAAUCAAGGAGGCCCUCAGCCUGAAGCGCCACGGCACGGCCGUGAAGGACGAGCAGCAGCUCGAGUCCGGGGUGAGCACCCACCAUCGGGAUCUGUUCGUGCGCCUGAAGUGCACCUUGACCAGCCGCGGACGCAGCAUCAACAUCAAGAGUGCCACCUACAAGGUCAUUCACAUCACGGGACACUUGGUGGUCAAUGGCAAGGGUGAGCGUGUGCUCAUUGCCAUCGGGCGACCCAUACCGCACCCCUCGAACAUCGAGAUACCCCUGGGCACCAGCACCUUCCUCACCAAGCACUCGCUGGACAUGCGCUUCACCUACGUGGACGACAAGAUGCUGGGCUUGCUGGGGUAUGCGCCCAACGAUCUGCUGGACACUUCGCUGUUUGUCUGCCAGCACGGAGCCGACUCCGAGCGCCUCAUGGCCACCUUCAAGAGCGUGCUGAGCAAGGGACAGGGGGAGACCUGUCGGUACCGCUUCCUGGGAAAAUGCGGCGGCUACUGCUGGAUCGUCAGCCAGGCCACAAUCGUCUACGACAAGCAGAAGCCCCAGAGCGUCGUCUGCGUGAACUACGUCAUCAGUAAUCUUGAGAACAAACAUGAGAUUUACUCACUCGCUCAGCAAACGGCGGCAAGUGAGCAAAAGGAACAACAACAACAACAACAACAACACCAACAAGCAUCAUCUGACAUCGAUAAAAACAACAAAAACAACACAACAGAAACAGCAACAACAACAGCAGCAGAGGAAGAAACAUCAAACUGCGAAACAGCUAAGAAAAUCGAAGCUCCAAUAGAGCUUGAGGAGAAGCCCCAAUCGAUUCCGAUACCGAUUUCGAUUGUGAGCGAGGAAUCGGCGACGGAAAUCAACAACAAUCCAGAGCCAGAUCCAGAGCCAGAGCUGUUGGCAGCAAAGAAAACUCCAAUUCCAACCGAAAUUUCUGCUGCUGCUGCUGCAACCAACCCACCAACACCAACAACAACAACAACAACUGAAACAGCAACACCACUCACCAACCAACAACAACAACAACUGCAGGCAGAAGAACUCCACAUCAAGAGAGAGAACCACUCGCCGGGUCCCCGCACCAUCACAGCACAGCUGAUCAGCAACAACAACAACAGCAACUGCGGCGGCAGCCUGCGGAUCGAGGAGAAGCGCCCCAAGUCGGUGACUGCUUCGGUGUUCCGGCCCAGUCCGGCGCCACCUCUCACCCCACCAGCCAUAUCCAUAUCCCCAGCAGCAGGUGGAGGGGCAGGGUUCAAGAAAACAGCAGAGCCCACUCUGCCGCCGACAACAACUGCAACGGCAGCGAUUCUCUCGUCGAGCAAUCAGCAGCAGCCACAGCAGCAGAACCUGCAAGCGACUCAAGAUAUGAGUAAGGGAUUCCUAUCAUUCGCUGACGAUGGACGAGGCCUAACAAUGCUCAAGGAGGAACCCGACGAUCUGUCCCACCAUUUGGCCUCGACGGCCUGCAUCCAGCUGGACGAGAUGACGCCCUUCAGCGACAUGCUGGUGGGCCUCAUGAGCUCCUGCCUGCUGCCGGACGAAAUCAACUCCUUGGACUCGACCACCUGCUCGACGACGGCCAGCGUGGCGCCCCACUACCAGAGGAGCAGCGGCCACAGCCACAGCGGCAGCCAAAGCAGCAGCUACGCCAGCAGUCCCCUCAGCCCGCUCACGCCCACAGAAGUGGUGACCACAGCAGCAGGGGCCUCCAACGGGAGCACUCCCAGCCACCAGAGCAACAGCCAGCAUCAGCACCAGCAUCACGACAACAGCAACAGCAGCAGCAGCAACAUCGAUCCGCUGUUCAACUACCGCGAGGAGUCGAACGACACGAGCUGCUCCCAGCAUCUCCACUCGCCCAGCAUCACAUCGAAGAGUCCCGAGGACAGCAGCCUGCCAUCGCUGUGCAGCCCCAGUUCGCUGACCCAGGAGGAUGACUUCUCGUUCGUGGACUUCGGGAUGCGCGCCCCCUACAUCCCGAUGGGCGAUGACAUGCCCCUGCUCACGGAGACGGACCUCAUGUGGUGUCCGCCCGAGGACCUGCACGGAUCCAUGCCCAAGGAGAUCGAUGCCAUUCAGCAGUUGCAGCUGCUCCAACAGCAGCAGCACCACCACCAGCAGCAGCAGGCAUACAGCCAGUACAACCAGCAACAGCAGCAGCAACAGCAACAACAGCAGCAGCAGCAGCAUUUCUCCAACUCAUUGUGCUCGUCGCCCGCAUCGACAGUGUCCUCCCUGUCGCCAUCGCCAGUGCAGCAGCAUCAGCACCAGCACCAGCAGCAGCAGCAACACCACCAGCAGCAGCAGCAGGCCGGCGGAGUCUUCACCACCGACUCGAGCGAGCUGGCAGCCCUGCUUUGUGGCACGGGCAACGGAACGCUCUCCAUCCUGGGAGGGAGUGGCGGACCUGCCGCAGAGGAGUGCGCCGAGCGUCUCCAGCAGCAGCAUCAGCAGCAGGAGGCCACCAGCGACUUUCGCAGCUUCCAGCAAUUGCAGCAGGAGUUGCAGUUGCAGGAGGAACAGCAGCAACAGGAGCAGCAGCAGCAGGAGGAGGAGCAACGCCAGCAGCAGCUGCUCAGCCUCAGCAACUCAGAGUGCAAGAAGGAGAAGUACGAGGUGCCGAUGGCCCCCAGCCUGAGUCAUUCCAUUGAGGAUGCAUUUGAGAAUGACUACAGCAAGGAUUCCUCCAAUCUGGACUGCUGGGACCUGCUGCAGAUCAACAUGGCAGAGGCUGCCGUCAGUCCGGCUGCCUCGUCCUCCCCCUGCAAGGCGACGACCAUCCAGCUGCUGCAGCACCAACAGCAGCAGCAGCAGAACGUCAUCCUGAAUGCCGUUCCAUUGAUAACCAUUCAGAACAACAAGAGCAUGCUGCAACAGCAACAGCAACAGCAGCAGCAGGAGCAGCUGCAGGAGCUGAUGCUGACCACCGCCACCAUGAAGCUGCUGAACGGAGCGAGCAUUGCGCCAGUGACCACGAAGGCCACCAUUCGACUGGUGGAGAGCAAGCCGCAGCAGACAACGACGCAGCAGCAGCAGCGCCUUGGAAAGCCAGCCAUGCAGCAGAUCCUUGUGCCCCAGCAGCAGCAGCACGGAAGCAAGCGUCACCUGAACAGCCAGACGAGCCAGGGGAACCCGGUGGAAUCGAAGCGCCUGAAGAGUGGCACUAUCUGCCUGGAUGUGCAGUCGCCGCAGCUGCUACAGCAGCUGAUCGGCAAGGACUCGGCCCAGCAGCAGACGCUGGCUGGCAAGCGGGCGGCCGGCGACCGCUGGCAGCAGACCGCGGAGGGCAAGCAGCAGCAGAAGCUCCAGCAGCAGCAGCAGUCGAACUCGGUGCUGAAGAACCUCCUCGUCAGCGGACGUGACGUAAGUGCCGGCUACUGCAUUGUGCCCAUGCGGCCCAAGAAGCAGCUGGCCAAGGUCUAGGCUCUAGACUCCAGACUCUAGAGGUUCUAGUGUCGCGAGACCAGAGACCAGAGACCGGAGACCUUCACCCGCCUCUCAAUUAGCUAAUGGAAGCAAUGGCAGCGGCAACGCCAAGGCUAUGAUUAAACCAAGGAGCUGCUAAGUUACUCGUAAACCACACGGACAAGCCCAUUUCUACAAUUUGUCUUUGUAAAUGGAUCGAUUUUAUAUAAAACUAAAACAAACCUCUCAAAGAGUGGGGGGCGUUCUAUUCGUGUAGUCCUUAGACCUAGGAAGUAGUCGAUAGUCGAUAGCCGAUAGAUGAUAGCCCUAGAUGAUACGUAUAGCCGUAGAUGUGUAAGAGCUGCAGUGGCAGUGGCAGCUGCAGCUGCAGCGUGGACUUUAAAAUUAUAAAUUUGUAGACUAUUUAAAAUAGUGCGCACGCUGAUGCGGCUGCGGAUGCAGAUGCGAAGCGGAUGACGAGGAUGUAUCGCGUGUAUCUUUAAUCUUUAAGUUUUAGCUUGGCGCGCGAUUUGUUGAUUUCAUUUUAAGUUGAGAGCCGUAAGCCGUAAGCCGAAAGCCGUAAGCCAUAGCGCCAUAAGCAUGUUGUUAUACCUUCUCUGUUCUGUUGAGCAUAAACACUACUACUCUGUUGUACAUAAAAUAAAACGUAAAACCGUAGGCAUAGGCAAGGCGAUUGAUAGAUCGAUCCACCGCGAGUGCAUCACAGAUCACGGCGGAUCGACAGAUCGUCAGAUCGCAAAUCGCCGACUCCGGACGUAGGAUGACGCAUGACGCAUGACGGAGAACGAAUUACGGAGGACGGAUGACGAAUGAGUAAAACAAUUGCAAUAAAAUUGUAAACUAUUAAAAUUCAAAUAUGGCAA